AUUAAGGACAUAAAACGAGUAAGGAGGGUGCGAACAGACCUGCUUUACUUAAUCUUACUCAAGAUCAGCUCAGGGUAAUUACAUAUUUGAGUUCGAGAAUUUCUCAGAUAGGGAGAUUUGCAGGGACUUUGUAGAGUUGACUUAGAGAGAUCUUCUUAAAGCAAGACAAUUUGAUUCAAGGUCGUUUCUUGGGAGAAUUAACAAAGCAAGUUUUAUCCGAUCUUGAUGCAAGUAAAUACCAGGUGGCGAGUAUAGGGUGUCGAUAUACGGAAGGAAGCAAAGCGAAUGGGAUCAGUUGGCAAGUUGGUUCAUUCAUCAACAAUUCAAUUUAUAGUGAAAAUGCCGGGUUGACCCAAACCAACUUUGUCGAAUUUGUAACUGUUGUACAUCCAUGCAGUCAGAACUUUUGACCCGAGUGCUUUCACAGCCUCAGAGAGUUCUUAUCCUCUUGGUGUUCCUAUGAUCGUGAGCCUGCUGAAGAGGAUAUUGUUGUGGAUUUUAAUCUCACAUUAGCAGCUGGACAUGUAUUGGGUUUGACCUCAGAAUUCAACGUCCAACAUUCUACUUGGAGUUAUUGUUAGGCUCCUCAAACGCCUUACGCAAUUUAGUGGUCAUCGUUACUGGUCCAAGUUCUAACCAAUCUCCUAUGUUGUCACCAUGAAGAGGGCAAUGCUCGCUUUAUCAAUGUAUUUCUCGAGUCUUGCAGACGGAAUCUUCUUUACCUGGUGGUGCUGCUGAAAGAACAGAUGCCGCAAGAAAAAACCUAUCUAUAUAUUUUGAUUUCAACACUUCCUUCAGCUGAUAAGAAGUUAGAGAUGCCAAGAUGGGUGGGUUGGGUAACGGGUCACUUUUCACUACUGGCCGGGUCGGUUGACCCAUAAACACUUUCUUAUGCAUUAUAAUAUUCUAUAUAAAAAACUUGAAGUGUUAGUUUGUAAUAAAAAAAACGAUAUUAUUUCAAAAGUAAUCUAAAUUUUUUGAAUAAAACAAUUUAGAGGGUCAAAUGUUUAAAAUAUAGAUGCUUGGUGACUUCAACCUGUUUGACCCGUUGCCCUUUUAGCUACUUUUUAUUUGGCUCAUUUGAGAUAAAUACAACCCCGAUCAAUCCAUAAUGCGUAUAUAUUUAUGCCAUCGUUAUAAGAAGCAAAUGUGGUUUGUUUAUAUUAUAUCUGUGUGUUGCAGCUUCCUUAUUGGCUCAAGCAGAAUCUAUGACGCCUAAUUAUCUACAGGAAGAGAAUGUGAAUGUUCUCAGGUGAAUUUUUUAGGCUAUCACCCAGGAACUUCCUGGGCUUGGAAAAUUUAAUUUACAAUACACAAAAGUACAAAAAAUAACUCUUGUGGUGCUGCUGAAAGUAUAUGUACUACCUUGCUUAGAUCGGGUUAUAAUUCGCUUUUCCUAGACUCCCAUCGCAACCCGUUUCCCAUGAUUUUCCAUCGUGGCAUCUUUGUUUCGCUCUCAACUGAUGACCCGUUGCAAAUUUAUCUAACAAAAGAACCUUUGGUAGAGGAAUACGGUGUUGCAGCCAAGUUUACCAGUCUGGAUUCUCACACGCAGCAAAGGCACAUUGGCUUGGAACCAAGUACUACAAGCGAUGAUAUACAGAAGUCAAAUGUACCAAAAUUGAGGAUUGCAUUCCGUCAUCAAACAUGGACCGAGGAAAUACAUUACGUGUAUGCAGGACGCUCAAGACUACCUCAAGAAGUCGAGUAUUAGUAGGACGGGUAAAGCAGCCUCAGUUCUCAUCCUUAGAUAAGAAAACACACAAUCAAACAAACAAAAGAUCUUAGGUUGUUUAGAUGUAUGCCUUAUAAAAGAAUGCAUUCUAGAAGGCUUUUAUGAUUUCUUUCGAGCUGCUAUUGUGCUUAAGGAGAGUUGGAGACACUACUUGCAAUUACAAAGAAGAACCGCAGUCUGUAGCUCUCGCUUCGAAGAAUGAUGCAGAAAAUAUGAAACUGGUGGAAAAAAGAGAGGAUAGUGGUGGGACAAUGGCACUGCCUGUUGAAGGGUUUAUUAGUAAGGUUUUGCAUGGAGUGGAUGGGUUUAUGAAUCUGGGUCUUCGGUAGGGUCUAAUGUAGGUGUUAGUGGGGUGUUUGGGACGAAAGGUACCUCACCUAUCAUUUGUUGUCAUUUAUAUGUUAAAUUUCAGAAGGUAUUAUGAUUAAAUGUAGGUUUUUUCUAAAGUACUGUUAGUUCCUUUGAUUUUAUGAUGAAAUAUUUUUAACAUUUAAUGCGAUGCUUAGUUUUUGCAUAUUGACAUAUUCUAUUAAGAGGCAUUUUUUAUUUCGGGUUAACCUUUUAGGAGCUGGUAAACCAUACUUCUCUACUUAAUUGCUCCAUAAGUCUUUUUUCAGGUAAAGAAAUCUAUUUUUAAAGUGAAUCUCAGUAUAACGGCUAUGAACUACUAUAAAAUAUAUAAAUUAUUUCAUAUUUGGUGAGUUAGCAAUUUGACCUGUUAAUCUACAAAUGCUUUUGAUUUUGGAUUAAGUUUUUUAUCUAACUGAUCAAAUGGGCACUACCAUAACCGAUUGUGCUCUAUAAGAGUGUUAGAUUGAUUCAAGUUUCGUGUGUAUAGUUUUGAGAAAUUAUAUGGCUCAGAAACUUUAGAUACAAUAUAUGAAUGUUCUGUGUUUUUUGCAAUUCAAUAUUUUGCGAUAUUGUGCUUUUUUGUGAUAUUUGCUAUCUGGAGGCAUUACUUCCGGAACACACAAGGUCUUAUUUUUGAGGUUGAUAGCAAUGAUAGGGACAAAGAUGCAAGAGAUGAAGGGGCAUAAAGGGGUCUAAUCUUUGUUUGACGAUAAUGGAAUCUUAAAAAAUAGCUUAUUUUGGGUUGGCGAAUUUCUUUAAUCAUAGCCAAACAGUGCCAUUGACCAGCCGGGUAGUGACUUUGGUAUCGACCACUAGAAUUACUAUUCGGAGCAACUCAUUAUGGAGUGCAGGAUGUAUCUUUGGAGAAAUGUAUGCUAGCAAGCCUAUUAUACCUGCUUGAACAGAGGAAAUGGUGAAGGCU